rnacentral:lncRNA from 1 species
UUCACCGGACGUCUGCUACACUACCAGACCGUCCAGUAUAAAGAAGUUUUCUUUGAGCUUUCAAGAUUUCAAUGCUAAAUAUCAAAGCAUUUUACCUUUACAUAUAGAUUCGAAAAUUCUAAUAUGAUUUUCUUCAAUAUGCCCGAUCAUUAAUGUUCAUGGCUUUGAUCUUGAUUCCUCUUGUCAUUGGCAAUUGUCUCGUUCUUCAUGAGUGCAUUCGUUUAGUCCUAUGAGUCUUCAUUUUGAUUUCAACUACCAUAACUCAAAGGUAGGUUUGUUAGAACUAAAAAAUAAAUUGUGUAUGUCAUAAUCAAAACAUAUGCCGAAGUCGAAGCCAACAAUUUCCCCUUUUUGAUUAUGACAAACAAAUGAUUUGCACAAGACGAAAAAAAUCAACAAAUAUAUAUUCCCCCUAUCUUU